AACAUAAGUGCCAGAUGAAGCGCGGGUUUCUGACUUGUUUUUUUGGAACUGGUUGUGCAGCUUUCUCCUAGAAAAAACAGAUAGACAAAUGCUUAACUGUCGUCAUUUAACAUCCCAUAACACAAACACAAAGUCAUUAAUCUACAAACAGAAGGGAGUGUAGCAGGUGUGUGGGCCGGGCACUAGCAGUGCCUGGCUGCUAACGAAGACCUGUGCCUCGGUAUGACUCACAUAAGCAUGACCUCAGGGUGCAAUGAGGGCUUUGGAGGUGUGGCGGAGCAGCUUCGAUGCCAGCAGUUAGCAAGAAGAGAGGGGAAGAAGGAGGAGCUACAGGGAAAACGAGUUAGCACACAGGCAUGACAGGCAGCCCGGGCCUAAGUACAGCAGCCUGUUUGUGAUAUAAGUGGGGCAGUCCGCCUCAACUUAGUUAGGGAAUCUGGAGGAAAGGUUAUGCUGGCCCUAUCUGGGCCUCCACAUGCACACCUCCCGUGUCCAGCCAACUCCCCCCUACUCAGGAACUCCAGGAGCGGACUCAGAAAGGGGGGGAGUUGCCCCAACAGGGUUAAAUUUACCAGCCAGGGGCUAUAUUUCAAUAACAGCCCCUGAGCUCUGACAGGCAGCUGUGAGCAGGGUCAUGUAGACAAGAGAGUCACUUCCACAUGAAGUAUUUCCACUCAAAAUGAAAAAUUUGAUUAUGUUAGUUACACUUUCGGAAUCAGUUUGACCAUAAUCGACACAUAACUUCUAAUCUAAUCUUGUUGCGGUAUUCAUUUAUAAAUUGCCAAGACGAACAGCAUGAGGCCUUGAAAUGUUCAUUCAUUAACAUUGUUUCAAAUUGUUUUGAAGUUAUGUAAAAGUAAACACGUUUAUUUCUUCUAAACUUGCACUAAUAGUUAAUAGAGGCAACAGAUGCACAUCUUUGCAAAGAUUUUGCUAAAAUGUUAAUGCAUAAAUAUAGAUAAUACACUGUAUAUAGAGGGGGUGAAGGCUUAGCUGAUACCUCUUAUGCCUCCUCUUGUUAUGUUAUAUUGUAUAUUAUAAAGAUUUACAGGUAAACUUUACCGAAAUUGUAUUUAGUAUACGGUAUACUGCCUGCACUGGAGUACAGUGAUCUUUACCGAUAGCUGUUACCAUACCAGUCAUAUCCAGCUUUAUCAUUUCAUAUAUUUUGGAGGACAGCAAAAGGAAAAAACGAAACAAAAACCUGCGUCACAUGUAACAAAAAGAGGAAUACUUUAGUGUUGUGAAAUCCCUCCCGUGCAUUUGUCAACUGGUUUACAUUUUUUGUUUUGAUGGAAUGCAGAGCCGAAAUGGAUCUUACAGAUUAUUGUUGCCAUAAAUGUAACAAUGCUGGGCUCUAAAUUACCUCUUCAACACUUAUUGUUUAUUACAUACUUUUGUAUGGUGAGGGUGUUUGUAUCAGAGAUGCCAAUGUGACACAGAUACCCAGAAUGCCUUGUGAAGUCAUUUGAACUUGUGUAAAACGCUGUCAGCCAGUGGAUCCUCCCCGCCAACACUGGAAGCUGACAUCUGGGUGAAAGGACACAGUAGUAAAGAUGGUCAGAAAACAAACCACAGAUGACUUGUUGUGCGAGCCAUCAAACUCCACACUGAAGGAUGCUUUGUGUACCACACAGCACGUGGCCCCGCCCCCCUCUCUCCUCCCGCACAUUAGAGUGGAGACAACAGGGAUUCCUCUACAAGCACCUGCCUCCUGAUUGGUCAGAACUGGAUUCUAAAGCCAAUCUGUUGCUAUGCGACACUGAUUCAUGUGCUGCUAGCUCGCUGUCUGUUGUCCUGGCAACAUGAGGAACAGGAGGCAGGUUUGAGGGCUCCCUGGAGGAGGUCCCCUGGAGACGGUGUGAGCAUGUGUGGUGCCUAAUGAUGAUGCUGAAGGCACAGAAAUCUGUGAUUUUUAAAAAAUAAUUCACUUUCAGUAAUAUUCAGUCUGGUUGUUUGCCUCGGGGAAAUUUUAUUCAGUCGCACAGCAUACAAUGACAGAAAUAUGUUCUUCUGCAUUAUCUAAGGAAAACAUUCAACAUCACCUCAAUUUUCAGAGGCCUACAGUAGCAUAUUGAGCGAUUGCUAAAGCCCAUUAUGAAUCUGCAAAAAACUCAAAUCUGAUAGUCACAUAUGCUAGUUUUUGUGUUAGUAUCUACACUCCUACAAUUGAGAAGAGUAUAGAUCUGUGUGGGUACAGUAGGUGUGAGACUAUUUUCAGUGUGUUGAAAAAAUCAACAUCGACACGAUAAUAAGUGCUAUUUUCAGUACAGACUGAAUCACAGAUGCACGAUAAAGAGCCAUUUCUUCCUGUUAUGUCACCAAGUGUACUAGUGAAUCAUUUCACAGAAGGAGGGAGUUUUUUACUUUAAAGAGUUGCUUUGUUAAAAUUGCUCUGAAUCAUCCAGAGACACGCUGGAACAUACUGACUCAAACAGAGAGGACAACGCAGACUUUUUUUGAAUCCCUGUGAUUAAGAUUGGAAGUUUCAUGUCUCUAUUGACAUUCAAAUAACAAUCAAAAAACAAGAUCUGUGAUGGACAGGAAGAUAAGGCAACACA